UUCUUCUAGAAUCAUGAUCCUGAAGAUUUAAACUACUUUAAGCAACUGGAGAGCUCAGCAUCCAAACUGAAACAGUCUAGAAGAAUAGAAACGACUUUAGGAUGUCAAAUGGUUUGAUGUAAGAGGGGAUUCUCCUUUCUACUUUGAAUAUGUGAUGGGAGUGCUGAUCCAAAAUGAGCCAAAAAAUGGUGGUAAGAAUAGAAAGAAAGGAGACAACUGUACAAAGUAUAGACUUGCAAUGUGCUUUCUGGGUUAUGUUUUCCUAUGGACAAAUGGAAACAAAUGGCGAAUGAAGAAAUAAACCUCUAAAAACACCAAACA